GUUGCUCUGGCAAGAGAGAGGGGUCGUCGUCGAUGUAGUCGAUCAGUGGGGUAUCAGCAGCGGUCUCGAGGUCUACCGAAAAGAAGUAACGGAGGGGGAACACAAAUAACAGAGCAAUCAAAGCAUCAUAAGCAUAACAUGGCAAUACACGAUGUUAGGGGUGACCUAACGCAAUACUGGAUGCUACUGGCGAAGGGGGGAAACAUCCGAGAAAGAAUUCCCGGUGUUUCGCUUUUUUGGGCAGAUGAACCGGAGAUGGAUUGUUGCAUGUUCGAUGUGCUAGGGACGUGUGGCGGACGAACGGACUACGUAUUUAGAUUAGUCUCGCUUUUCUGAGCAACUUUUAUGUAUAAAACUUUUUCAUCCGAGCUACGGAUUAUUUUAUAUAAUUUUCCAAAGAUUUAAAGAAUUUCUAAAAUUAUGGAUUUGUUUUAAUCCGAAAAUAAACAGUAAACAGAAAAGCUGGGUGCACCCGGUGUAGUGCACCCAACAGUGCACUGGGGCUGACAGUGGGCCCCGGGGCUGCUGAGUUAGCCGCGAGCGGUUAACUAGUCAGAUGAUGAACAGUCCUGGAGGGGUCUGCAUGUCAUAGCCAUUGGGGUUAAUUUAAAUUAAACAGUGUUUAAUUUAUGGGGGUUUUACACAUCAGCGGCCAAUUAGCCUUAGUAUUAGUACUAAGACCCAGUUCUUUUGCCAGAAUUUGGAAAUUCUCCCAGAAUCCGACCCCUAUCCAGCUUCUUCCAGAAUCUUUGAGCCCAUUUAUUUUACAAUCCUAUCUAAUUAGACCCUAACUAGAUAGGAUUGUAAAACAAACGAGGCCCAAAGAUUCUGGAAGAAGCUGAGUAGGAGUCGGAUUCUGGAAGAAUCCUCAGAUUAUGGCAAAAGAACUGGGCCUAAAACUAAACUAAACAGGGGACAAAGGAGACGUGAAGCUUUUGCGGCAUGCAGAGUACACAUUAUUGCAUAUGGUUAUGGGCAUUUUUAUUUGUUUCUUUUUUACAACUAUUUUUGUGGGCUUUUAGUUGGGCAUUAAUGUGAUAAAAAUUUAAGGGACUAUGAAGCGGCUGGUGCAUUCCAAGUUCGAUGGGUUCAGCGUUCAGGCGUGACUUUCUACUGGGUUCAGAACACACUCGUACCCAUAUACACGUACAUGUAGAAAAAGAAGAUCGGGUACAUGUAGAAAAAGAAGAUCGUUGGGUUCAGAUACGGCUGUACGCUAGCUCCGCCGGCCAUGGAGCAGCAGCAGCAUAAAUACGCAGCGGCAGCGGCAAUAGAGGGAGCAUCAACAGGCCGCGAGAAGAAGCAGUGCAGCAACAGCGGAGAGCAGUAGUAGACAACGAGCAGCAGCAGUAGCGCAGCAACAGCAGCGCAGCCGGGCGCGGUGGCUAGCGGGCGGGCGGCUGCGCGCGCCGGCAGAGGUGGGGACAGCGAGAGAGGCUGUAGCGGGGCAGCAGGGAUGGGCGAGGACGUGCAAGGGCGACGGGAGGAGGGGCGCCCAGGGCGAGCUAGUGACGAUCAGAGGGCACCGGGAUGGCGGCCAUGGCGUGCGUGGAGCGAAGCUCCGACCGCGACGGCUAAGCUCGGGGGAGGGCACCUACGGCGAUGGAAUCGAUGGGGAAGAAGGGGGAAUCGAAGGAGGGCCUUACCACGGUCGCAUAGAAGGGGACGACGAGGUUGGGGACGCAUUGAAGGCGGCGGAUCGACCGCCGGUGGCCGCGGAUGCAGUCGGGGAGGAAUGAUGAAGACAGCGGCGAUGUGGCGUCCCGACUCGAUCCACUUGAUGAUGAAGAAGAAGUCGUCCAUGGUGAAGCUCCCGGACACGCUAGAUCAGCACGGAGGCAACGAUGGCCGCGACGACGACAUGGCGGCGGACGAGCUCGGGAUCGAGCAAUUGGAGAGGGAGAGGGGCAAGUGGGG
rnacentral:lncRNA from 1 species